AGCUCCAAUAGCGUAUAUUAAAGUUGUUGCAGUUAAAAAGCUCGUAGUUGGAUUUGUGGCGUGCGUGGGCGGUCGGGCACCUAGUGCCCGUGCUUGCCUUCGCCGCCAUCUUUGGUCGGAUCCUGUGUGGCAUUAGGUUGUCGUGCAGGGGAUGGCCAUCGUUUACUGUGAAAAAAUUAGAGUGUUCAAAGCAGGCUUAUGCCGUUGAAUAUAUUAGCAUGGAAUAAUAAGAUAGGACCUUGGUACUAUUUUGUUGGUUUGCGCACCGAGGUAAUGAUUAAUAGGGACAGUUGGGGGUAUUCGUAUUCCAUUGUCAGAGGUGAAAUUCUUGGAUUUUUGGAAGACGAACUACUGCGAAAGCAUUUACCAAGGAUGUUUUCAUUAAUCAAGAACGAAAGUA
rnacentral:rRNA from 1 species